GUCAAAGUGGCCGAGCGGUUAAGGCGGUGCCCUGCUAUUCGAUCUAUCGAAAGCGUUGUUAGGCAUUGGGUUUUACCUUCGCAGGUUCGAAUCCUGUCUUUGACG
rfam:Eremothecium cymbalariae DBVPG#7215 chromosome 2, complete sequence.